CCUACGGGAGGCUGCAGUGGGGGAUAUUGCACAAUGGGGGGAACCCCGAUGCAGCGACGCCGCGUGGGUGAAGGAGUGCUUCGGCAUGUAAAGCCCUAUCGGCAGGGAAGAAGCAAGACGGUACCUGACUAAGAAGCCCCGGACAAAUACGUGCCAGCAGCAGCGGUAAUCAGUAGGGGGCGAGCGUUAUCCGGAUUCACUGGGGGAAAAGGGAGGGCAGACGGCCAAGCAAGCCAGGGGUGAAAGCCAGGGGCCCAACCCCGGGACUGCCCUUGGAACUGUGCGGCUAGAGUGCGGGAGGGGCAGGCGGAAUUCCUGGUGUAGCGGUGAAAUGCGUAGAUAUCAGGAGGAACACCGGCGGCGAAGGCGGCCUGCUGGACCGCAACUGACGUUGAGGCUCGAAAGCGUGGGGAGCGAACAGGAUUAGAUACCCCUGUAGUC
rnacentral:rRNA from 1 species